CGGCCUUUCCCCGUGAACUAAUGCAUAUUAAUAAGCGGAGGAAAAGAAACUAACCAGGGAUUCCCUAAGUACCGGCGAGUGAUGCGGGAAAAGCUCUUCGUUAAAAUCUGGCCGGUUUCCGGUUCGAAUUGUAGUUAAAAGAAGCGUUUUCGGCGACACCCGGGUACAAAUCCCUUGGAACAGGGUAUCAUAGAGGGUGAGAAUCCCGUCUUUGACCCGGAGACCGUUGCUAUGUGAUACGUUUUCAAAGAGUCGAGUUGUUUGGGAAUGCAGCUCAAAAUGGGUGGUAAAUUUCAUCUAAAGCUAAAUAACGGCGAGAGACCGAUAGCGAACAAGUACCGUGAGGGAAAGAUGAAAAGAACUUUGAAAAGAGAGUCAAACAGUACGUGAAAUUGUUGAAAGGGAAACGUAUGAGAUCAGUCAUGCGUGCAGGAAAUCAACCGUCUCUUCGGAGCCAGGUGCACUUUUUUGCACGCAAGCCAGCAUCGGUUUUAGGUGCCGGACAAAGUCUCCGGGAAGGUGGCCCGCUCUUCGGAAUGGGUCCUUACAGCCCGGAUGUACGGAUACGGUGCCCGGAACCGAGGAACGCAGCUCGUCCUUUUGGGCCCGGAGGCGCGCGGGCUCUCAGGCAACCGUGCUUCAACUGCAUGCAGGUGGAGUGCAGGUUUCCUGGGACCCCUCUCGCUGCCUCACGCAUCGAGCUGAGGAUGCUGGCGUAAUGGUUCUAUACGACCCGUCGUGAAACACGG
rnacentral:rRNA from 1 species